rnacentral:rRNA from 1 species
UACGUAGGGGGCUAGCGUUGUCCGGAAUCAUUGGGCGUAAAGCGCGCGUAGGCGGCCCGGUAAGUCCGCUGUGAAAGUCAAAGGCUCAACCUUUGAAUGUCAGCGGAUACUGCCGGGCUAGAGUCCGGAAGAGGCGAGUGGAAUUCCUGGUGUAGCGGUGAAAUGCGCAGAUAUCAGGAAGAACACCCGUGGCGAAGGCGGUUCUCUGGGACGGUACUGACGCUGAGACGCGAAAGCGUGGGGAGCGAACAGG